rnacentral:tRNA from 1 species
GCGCCCAUAGCUCAAUUUGGCAGAGCGGCUCGCUCUUAACGAGAAGGUUGCAGGUUCGAUUCCUGCUGGGCGCA